rnacentral:rRNA from 1 species
CCUGCGGAGGGAUCAUUACUGAGUUUACGCUCUACAACCCUUUGUGAACAUACCUAUAACUGUUGCUUCGGCGGGUAGGGUCUCCGUGACCCUCCCGGCCUCCCGCCCCCGGGCGGGUCGGCGCCCGCCGGAGGAUAACCAAACUCUGAUUUAACGACGUUUCUUCUGAGUGGUACAAGCAAAUAAUCAAAACUUUUAACAACGGAUCUCUUGGUUCUGGCAUCGAUGAAGAACGCAGCGAAAUGCGAUAAGUAAUGUGAAUUGCAGAAUUCAGUGAAUCAUCGAAUCUUUGAACGCACAUUGCGCCCGCCAGCAUUCUGGCGGGCAUGCCUGUUCGAGCGUCAUUUCAACCCUCAAGCUCUGCUUGGUGUUGGGGCCCUACAGCUGAUGUAGGCCCUCAAAGGUAGUGGCGGACCCUCCCGGAGCCUCCUUUGCGUAGUAACUUUACGUCUCGCACUGGGAUCCGGAGGGACUCUUGCCGUAAAACCCCCAAUUCUCCAAAGGUUGACCUCGGAUCAGGUAGAAAACCCGCUGAACUUAAGCAUAUCA